rnacentral:rRNA from 1 species
UACAGAGGUCUCAAGCGUUGUUCGGAUUCAUUGGGCGUAAAGGGUGCGUAGGCGGCGCGGUAAGUCGGGUGUGAAAUUUCGAGGCUUAACUUCGAAACUGCAUUCGAUACUGCCGUGCUUGAGGACUGGAGAGGAGACUGGAAUUUACGGUGUAGCGGUGAAAUGCGUAGAUAUCGUAAGGAAGAUCAGUGGCGAAGGCGGGUCUCUGGACAGUUCCUGACGCUGAGGCACGAAGGCCAGGGGAGCAAACGGG